GAUGAAGAACGCAGCGAAAUGCGAUACUUGGUGUGAAUUGCAGAAUCCCGUGAACCAUCGAGUCUUUGAACGCAAGUUGCGCCCGAAGCCAUUAGGCCGAGGGCACGCCUGCCUGGGCGUCACACGUCGUUGCCCCCCCAUCUACUCCUUCGGGAUUGCGGGGGGCGGAUGAUGGCCUCCCGUGCGCCUCGCCGCGCGGUUGGCAUAAAUGCCAAGUCCACGGCGACGCACGCCACGACAAUCGGUGGUUGCGAAACCUCGGUUGCCCGUCGUGUGCGGUCGUCGCGCAUCGAGGGCUCGAAAAAAUUGCCGGGUUCCGGCUCGGCUUUCAACGCGACCCCAGGUCAGGCGGGGUUACCCGCUGAAUUUAAGCAUAUCAAUAAGCGGAGGA
rnacentral:misc_RNA from 1 species